rnacentral:rRNA from 1 species
GAUGAACGCUAGCGGCAGGCUUAAUACAUGCAAGUCAAGGGGGUAGCAAUACAACCGGCGCACGGGUGAGUAACGCGUACACAACAUACCAUAUACUGGGGUAUAGCUUUGGGAAACUGAAGGUAAUCCCCCAUAACAUUGCGAGAGGGCAUCUGAUUGCAAUUAAAGUUUUGACGGUAUAUGAUUGGUGUGCGUUUGAUUAGCUUGUUGGUAGGGUAACGGCCUACCAAGGCGACGAUCAAUAGCUGGCGUGAGAGCGCGACCAGCCCCCCUGGAACUGAGACCCGGUCCCGACUCCUACGGGAGGCAGCAGUGGGGAAUUUUGGACAAUGGGGGCAACCCUGAUCCAGCAAUGCCGCGUGAGUGAAGAAGGCUCUCGGGUUGUAAAGCUCUUUUGUCAGGGAAGGAAAGGUCGUGGCUAAUAUCCCCGGCUCAUGACGGUACCUGGAGAAUAAGCACCGGCUAACUACGUG